rnacentral:rRNA from 1 species
AGGUCUGGAAAGGCCAACCACAGAAGGUAACAGUCCUGUAGGUGAAAAUUUGAAGGUAUGAGAGAGAGCACCCGAGUACUGCGAGACACGAGAAACCUCGUAGGAAUCUGUGAGGACCACCUCAUAAGGCUAAAUACUCCUUGGCAACCGAUAGUGAACUAGUACCGUGAGGGAAAGGUGAAAAGCACCCCGGGAGGGGAGUGAAAAAGAACCUGAAACCGUAUGCUUACAAGCAGUAGGAGCACGAUUAAACGUGUGACUGCGUACUUUUUGUAGAACGGACCGGCGAGUUAUGUUAUGUUGCGAGGUUAAGCACCGUAAGAGGUGUGAAGCCGAAGCGAAAGCGAGUCUUAAAAGGGCGAGAAGUAACAUGACGUAGACCCGAAACCGGGUGAUCUACCCAUGGGCAGGGUGAAGCGGAAGUAAAAUUUCGUGGAGGCCCGAACCGACUGUCGUUGAAAAGCCAGCGGAUGACCUGUGGGUAGGGGUGAAAUGCCAAUCGAACCCGGAGAUAGCUGGUUCUCCCCGAAAUAGCUUUAGGGCUAGCCUCAAGGUAGAAGAUUUGUGGAGGUAGAGCACUGAUUAGGCUAGGGGCCCUAUCAGGUUACCGAACCUUGUCAAACUCCGAAUGCCACAAAUUAUACUUGGGAGUCAGACUGCGGGUGCUAAGAUUCGUAGUCGAGAGGGAAACAGCCCAGACCAACAGCUAAGGUCCCAAAGUACGGACUAAGUGGAAAAGGAUGUAGAGUUGCAUAGACAACCAGGAUGUUGGCUUAGAAGCAGCCACCAUUUAAAGAGUGCGUAAUAGCUCACUGGUCAAGUGGCUCUGCGCCGAAAAUGUAACGGGGCUAAAGUCCGCCACCGAAGCUUUGGAUGUUAACGUAAUCUUAAUGCUUUUAAAUAAAGCCAAGAGAUAUAGGAAGAGUAACAUUUCGUCGAAAUCGCCAUUAGCGGUUUAAUAUAAAUAAAAAGAGAUUUCGACCAAAUGGUUUUAGGGGAUAAAGUCCCUAAGAAAUUGAAGAUGUUAAGAUUACGUUAACAUGGUAGGGGAGCGUUCUUAGGUCGUAGAAGCAUGACCGAAAGGACAUGUGGAGAGCUAAGAAGAGAGAAUGCCGGUAUGAGUAUGCGAGAAAGAGGUGAGAAACCUCUUCACCGGAAGCCUAAGGUUUCCUGGGGAAGGCUCGUCCGCCCAGGGUAAGUCGGGACCUAAGCCGAGGCGUAAAGCGUAGGCGAUGGACAAUCGGUUGAGAUUCCGAUACCACCAUAUAACCGUUUGAAGGAAGUGGUGACACAGGAGGGUAGGUUAAGCGCACCGUUGGUCGAGUGCGUCCAAGCCAGUAGGAGGUAGAGGCAGGCAAAACCGCCUCUAUGCUAACUCCAAGAGGUAACGGGGAGCGAAAAUAAGUAGCGAACUAACUGAGCCCACACUGUCAAGAAAAGCCACUAACGAGGUUAUGAGGUGCCCGUACCGCAAACCGACACAGGUAGGCAGGGAGAGAAUCCUAAGGUGAGCGAGAGAACCCUUGUUAAGGAACUCGGCAAAAUGACCCCGUAACUUAGGGAUAAGGGGAGCCUCAUGUAGGGUAGGUAUUUAAGCAAAUACUGGCUCGAAGAGGCCGCAGAGAAUUGGCCCAAGCGACUGUUUAGCAAAAACACAGGUACCUGCUAAGGAGAAAUCCGAAGUAUAGGCGCUGACGCCUGCCCGGUGCUGGAAGGUUAAGGGGAGAGGUGCAAGCCUUGAACUGAAGCCCCAGUAAACGGCGGCCGUAACUAUAACGGUCCUAAGGUAGCGAAAUUCCUUGUCGGGUAAGUUCCGACCCGCACGAAAGGCGUAACGAUUUGGGCACUGUCUCAACAGGGGGCUCGGCGAAAUUGUAGUACCCGUGAAGAUGCGGGUUACCUGCGGCAGGACAGAAAGACCCCGUGGAGCUUUACUGCAGCCUGAUAUUGGGCUUUGGCAUGUUAUGUACAGGAUAGGUGGGAGACUGAGAUACUAGGGCGCCAGCCUUGGAGGAGUCAAUGGUGGGAUACCACUCUUAACAUGCUAGGGUUCUAACCAGUAUCCAUGAAACUGGAUAUGGGACAGUGUCAGGUGGGCAGUUUGACUGGGGCGGUCGCCUCCCAAAAAGUAACGGAGGCGCCCAAAGGUUCGUUCAGCACGGAUGGAAAUCGUGCGUAGAGUGUAAAGGCAGAAACGAGCUUAACUGCGAGACAGACAAGUCGAGCAGAUACGAAAGUAGGGCUUAGUGAUCCGGCGGUACCGAGUGGAAGGGCCGUCGCUCAACGGAUAAAAGCUACCCCGGGGAUAACAGGCUUAUCUCCCCCAAGAGUCCAUAUCGACGGGGAGGUUUGGCACCUCGAUGUCGGCUCAUCGCAUCCUGGGGCUGAAGUAGGUCCCAAGGGUUGGGCUGUUCGCCCAUUAAAGCGGUACGUGAGCUGGGUUCAGAACGUCGUGAGACAGUUCGGUCCCUAUCCGCCGCAGGCGCAGGAGAUUUGAGAGGAAUUGCCCCUAGUACGAGAGGACCGGGGUGAACAAACCUCUGGUGCACCAGUUGUCGUGCCAACGGCACAGCUGGGUAGCUAAGUUUGGCAGGGAUAAGUGCUGAAAGCAUCUAAGCACGAAGCCCCCCUCAAGAUAAGAUUUCCCACUGGCAAACCAGGUAAGACACCUGAGAGAACAUCAGGUAGAUAGGCCGGAGGUGUAAGGGCAGUAAUGUCUUUAGCUGACCGGUACUAAUAAGUCGAGGGCUUGAUCUA